rnacentral:rRNA from 1 species
UAACUGUGGUAAUUCUAGAGCUAAUACAUGCAUUCNGCCCGCGCCUUCGGGUGCGGGUGCAGUUAUUUGCCCAAGACCAAUCCGGCCCUCGGGUCGGUAAAUUGGUGACUCUGAAUAACCGAAGCGGAGCGUUUGGUCUCGUACCGGCGCCNGAUCGUUCAAGAGUCUGACUUAUCANCUUGAUGUUAGGUUAUGUUCCUAACAUGGCUUUAACGGGUAACGGGGUGUCAGGGCCCGACACCGGAGAGGGAGCCUGAGAAACGGCUACCACAUCCAAGGAAGGCAGCAGGCGCGCAAAUUACCCACUCCCGGCACGGGGAGGUAGUGACGAAAAAUAACGAUCCGAGAGCUUUAUGCUUCUCGUAAUCGGAAUGGGUACACUUUAAAUCCUUUAACGAGNAUCUAUUGGAGGGCACGUCUGGUGCCAGCAGCCGCGGUAAUUCCAGCUCCAAUAGCGUAUAUGAAAGUUGCUGCGGUUAAGAAGCUCGUAGUUGGAUCUGGGUCGUCGAUGGACGGUGCGCCGUAGGGUGUUACUGUUUGUUCGGCACCACAGCCCGGCCAUGUCUUGUAUGCUCUUCAUUGAGUGUACUUGGCGACCGGAACGUUGACUUUGAAAAAAUUAGAGUGCUCAAAGCAAGCUUUAAGCCUAUAUAAUGGUGCAGGGAAAGAUAGAAUAAGACUUUUGCCUUGUUCUGUUGGCCUAAGAGGCAGAAAUAAUGAUCUUUAGGAACAGACCGGGGAGUUCGUAUUGCGGCGUUAUAGGUGAAAUUCUGGGAUCUUCGCAUACGCAGUACGGCGAGAAAUUUGUGGAGAGUGUUUUCAUUCACCACGAACGAAGCUUAGAGGUACGAAGGUUAUCUUAUACCGGAACGUUCGUUACAUGUUCGAUGGCGAUCAGAUACCGCCCUAUUUAUAACAUGAAACGAUGGGAACCUGCGAUCCGACGGAAUUUAUUAGGUGACUCGGCGAGCA